rnacentral:rRNA from 1 species
CCUACGGGAGGCAGCAGUGAGGAAUAUUGGUCAAUGGACGAGAGUCUGAACCAGCCAAGUAGCGUGAAGGAUGACUGCCCUAUGGGUUGUAAACUUCUUUUAUAAAGGAAUAAAGUGAGGCACGUGUGCCUUUUUGUAUGUACUUUAUGAAUAAGGAUCGGCUAACUCCGUGCCAGCAGCCGCGGUAAUACGGAGGAUCCGAGCGUUAUCCGGAUUUAUUGGGUUUAAAGGGAGCGUAGAUGGGUUGUUAAGUCAGUUGUGAAAGUUUGCGGCUCAACCGGAAAAUUGCAAUUGAUACUGGCAGUCUUGAGUACAGUUGAGGUAGGCGGAAUUCGUGGUGUAGCGGUGAAAUGCUUAGAUAUCACGAAGAACUCCGAUUGCGAAGGCAGCUUACUAAACUGCCACUGACAUUGAUGCUCGAAAGUGUGGGGAUCAAACAGGAUUAGAUACCCGUGUAGUC